rnacentral:rRNA from 1 species
AUGAGAUUUCCCAACUUCGGUUAGAAGUUCCCUCGAAGAUGACGAGGUUAAUAGGUUCGAGGUGGAAGCGUGGUGACACGUGGAGCUGACGAAUACUAAUCGAUCGAAGACUUAAUCAAUUU